rnacentral:rRNA from 1 species
CACGUAGGAGGCGAGCGUUGUCCGGAAUCAUUGGGCGUAAAGAGCGCGCAGGCGGCUUGGCAAGUCGGGUGUGAAAUCCCGGGGCUCAACCCCGGGACUGCAUUCGAUACUGUCAGGCUAGAGGUAGGUAGGGGAGUCUGGAAUUCCUGGUGUAGCGGUGAAAUGCGUAGAUAUCUGGAGGAAUACCGGUGGCGAAGGCGGCAUCCUGGACCAUUACUGACGCUGAGGCGCGAAAGCUAGGGGAGCAAACGGG